rnacentral:rRNA from 1 species
UACGUAGGUGGCAAGCGUUAUCCGGAAUUACUGGGUGUAAAGGGCGUGUAGGCGGGGAGACAAGUCAGAUGUGAAAUUCCGGGGCUCAACCCCGGCGCUGCAUCUGAAACUGUUUCUCUUGAGUACUGGAGAGGAAAGUGGAAUUCCUAGUGUAGCGGUGAAAUGCGUAGAGAUUAGGAGGAACACCAGUGGCGAAGGCGGCUUUCUGGACAGUAACUGACGCUGAGGCGCGAAAGUGUGGGGAGCGAAC